GGGAGUACAUGCGCGUUUCUUUUAGGCAGGGCGCCAGGGCGUUUAUAUUUUAACGUGUAAUUUUUCGCCUUGGUUCUAUUGCCUCCACUUCCACGUGAUUCUUCGGUAGAAGUUAUAGUUUUACAGCUAGUUCCUUCUCCUUUUUCUUCUUUCCUCUGUUAUCUACAGAUCUUCUCUUCAUCACAAAAUCUCUUCCAGCAUUUCAUGAUGGUUCCAUCAAGUUAAUGGUGUCAGGGUUCUUCUCCAUGUAUGAAUUGACAGAUCCAUCA